AUUGAACGCUGGCGGCAGGCCUAACACAUGCAAGUCGAACGGUAACAGGAAGAAGCUUGCUUCUUUGCUGACGAGUGGCGGACGGGUGAGUCAUGUCUGGGAAACUGCCUGAUGGAGGGGGAUAACUACUGGAAACGGUAGCUAAUACCGCAUAACGUCGCAAGACCAAAGAGGGGGACCUUCGGGCCUCUUGCCAUCGGAUGUGCCCAGGUGGGCUUCGCUAGGAGGUGGGGUAACGGCUCACCUAGGCGACGAGCCCUAGCUGGUCUGAGAGGAUGACCAGCCACACUGGAACUGAGACACGGUCCAGACUCCUACGGGAGGCAGCAGUGGGGAAUAUUGCACAAUGGGCGCAAGCCUGAUGCAGCCAUGCCGCGUGUAUGAAGAAGGCCUUCGGGUUGUAAAGUACUUUCAGCGGGGAGGAAGGGAGUAAAGUUAAUACCUUUGCUCAUUGACGUUACCCGCAGAAGAAGCACCGGCUAACUCCGUG
rnacentral:rRNA from 1 species